UGUCAUAAUAGAACUUGUCUCCACCCACAUUACUCCAGCAAUUAAUUUUACACCUAAGCAACUUGGCAAAAAACAUCUUGUUUCCAGCCCUGGUGAGACUCAUCUCCAGCUGAGACUUUGCUUCCAGGUCACAGGUCUGGGAGAAAGGAAACCAUUCUCACCACUUUCUAGGUGUUCAAAUAGCUGAAAUCCUCAUUUAUUUGUCUACUCUGAAAAUAUUUAAAUCAAUCUGAUGUGUCACCUGGAGUAAAGUCAGAAAUCUCAAAUCAUGAUAUGUGGCAAAGCACCUCCAACACUGCUGGGAGCACCCGUUCUCACAUGACAAAUCUGCAUAAGAGGCUUUGAAGGAGAACAAACAUAUCUAAAUCAGGGAAAUCACAGCUCCUGACCUCAAAAAGGUGCACACCUCCAUAAACUCAAUAAUCCCUACCAGUAUCCUCUGCUCUCUGGGCCUCCUGGAAAAACCUAUGGGCUCCAAGGUUAAUUUCUCACUCAAGUCCAAGGGUAGAGCAAGCUCCAAGCAAGAGAAGAAACUUUGUAUUAAA